rnacentral:lncRNA from 1 species
ACUGAUUGUCCAUGAUCCGAUAGCCUUCGUGGAAAUCGAAGAGUCGAUUUUCGAUGUGUUUUACGGCGAAAUUUGCCGAAAGAACGCGAUUUCAGUUCGGAUAUCUUCCGACGCGGUUUGGUUGUACUGUAAAUUGUCGCUGAGCCUUGUUGGCUGGUCACCAUCAUCAUUUUGUGGGUUCGGUGAUGAUGGGUGAGCGACGGUGGGUUCCGGUAUCGAAAUAGACACUUCCGGGAAUCCGUAUUCGUACAAUUAUUCAGCGAUAAUUGUGUAGUGGUGUUAUCUUGU